GCUGUAGCUCAGUGGUAGAGCAUCCGCAUUGCACACAGAAGGUUCUUGGUUCAAUCCCCAACAUCUCCA